rnacentral:rRNA from 1 species
AUUGAACGCUGGCGGCAGGCCUAACACAUGCAAGUCGAACGAAGCCUUCGGGCUUAGUGGCGGACGGGUGAGUAACACGUGGGAACGUACCUUUUGGUUCGGAACAACCCAGGGAAACUUGAGCUAAUACCGGAUGAGCCCUUAGGGGGAAAGAUUUAUCGCCGAAAGAGCGGCCCGCGUUAGAUUAGCUAGUUGGUGAGGUAAAGGCUCACCAAGGCAACGAUCUAUAGCUGGUCUGAGAGGAUGAUCAGCCACACUGGGACUGAGACACGGCCCAGACUCCUACGGGAGGCAGCAGUGGGGAAUCUUGCGCAAUGGGCGAAAGCCUGACGCAGCCAUGCCGCGUGAAUGAUGAAGGUCUUAGGAUUGUAAAAUUCUUUUACCAGGGACGAUAAUGACGGUACCUGGAGAAAAAGCCCCGGCUAACUUCGUGCCAGCAGCCGCCGUAAGAC